CUAUUAUUUUAUAAUGUAAAAAUUGAUACUAUGUAUUUAUCUAAGUAUUAUGAAUAUUAUUUUGUUUAUUUAAAACUUAAAAAGUUUGGCGGUUUUACAUAUCCAUUUAGGGGAGUCUGUUAAUAUAAUUUGAUAGUCCGCAUUUUAAACUAAUUUUUUUUUGAUAUUAUAAUUAUGUUUAUAAUUUAUAACAGUUUAUAUAUUGCUGUCGUCAGUUUAUGUUUUGAGGUUGAAAGAACUAUUAAAUAUUAUAUAUUGUUAUGUCAAGUCAUAAUGUAGCUAAUAAAAAAGGUUUGAUGGACUACUUUAAUUAAUUUUAUUUAUUAAACCGGAUAAUAGAAAUUAUAUUUUGUUAGUAAGGUGGACUUAAUAGUAAAUAGUAAUUAGUAUGUAUUAUUGAAUAUUGGUUUUGUAAGAUGU
rnacentral:rRNA from 1 species